rnacentral:rRNA from 1 species
UACAGAGGAUGCAAGCGUUAUCCGGAAUGAUUGGGCGUAAAGCGUCUGUAGGUGGCUUUUUAAGUCCGCCGUCAAAUCCCAGGGCUCAACUCUGGACAGGCGGUGGAAACUACCAAGCUGGAGUACGGUAGGGGCAGAGGGAAUUUCCGGGUGGAGCGGUGAAAGUGCUGCAGAUAUCGGGGAAAGAACACCCGUGGCGAAGGCGGGCUCUCUGGGGACGGUACUGACGCUGAGACGCGAAAGCGUGGGGAGCGAACAGGA